AUUGAACGCUGGCGGCAUGCCUUACACAUGCAAGUCGAACGGUAACAGGUCUUCGGAUGCUGACGAGUGGCGAACGGGUGAGUAAUACAUCGGAACGUGCCUAGUAGUGGGGGAUAACUACUCGAAAGAGUGGCUAAUACCGCAUGAGAUCUACGGAUGAAAGCAGGGGAUCGCAAGACCUUGUGCUACUAGAGCGGCCGAUGGCAGAUUAGGUAGUCGGUGGGAUAAAAGCUUACCAAGCCGACGAUCUGUAGCUGGUCUGAGAGGACGAUCAGCAACACUGGGACUGAGACACGGCCCAGACUCCUACGGGAGGCAGCAGUGGGGAAUUUUGGCCAAUGGGCGAAAGCCUGAUCCAGCAAUGCCGCGUGCAGGAUGAAGGCCUUCGGGUUGUGAACUGCUUUUGUACGGAACGAAAAGCCCCGGGUUAAUACCCUGGGGUCAUGACGGUACCGUAAGAAUAAGCACCGGCUAACUACGUGCCAGCAGCCGCCGUAA
rnacentral:rRNA from 1 species